rnacentral:misc_RNA from 1 species
GAUGAAGAACGCAGCGAAAUGCGAUACUUGGUGUGAAUUGAAGAAUCCCGUGAACCAUCGAGUCUUUGAACGCAAGUUGCGCCUCAAGCCAUUAGGUUGAGGGCACGUCUGCCUGGGCGUCACAUAUCGUUGCCUGAUGCCAGUUUCCUCGUGAUGGGUGACUGUGCAGGGCGAAUGAUGGCUUCCCGUGAGCAUUGUUGCCUCAUGGUUGGUUGAAAAUUGAGUCCUUGGUAGGGAGCGCCGUGAUAGAUGGUGGUUGAGUGACGAACGAGACCCAAUCAUGUGAGACCCCUACCGAAUUUGGCCUUCAUGACCCACAUGCGUCUUUGGAACGCUCAUGACGAGACCUCAGGUCAGGCGGGGCUACCCGCUGAGUUUAAGCAUAUCAAUAAGCGGAGGA